rfam:Subdoligranulum sp. 4_3_54A2FAA genomic scaffold supercont1.9, whole genome shotgun sequence.
GGGGAUGUAAAGGUUUCGACGGGGAGAGGAAAGCGAAAGCAGCGGGUAGUGCUCGGGGGACGCACUUAAAACGCCUCCAAAAAAAUAGCUAACAACAAUAAAUUAGCUGUCGCUGCCUAAUUAAAGGCAGCUGUCUUGCCCGGCUUACCGCGCGCCGGGGUCAAGGCAUCAUUUAGCGGUGCACGUGAGCAGCAUCAAGCUUUGUUUGCUGCCAUGAACUGAUGAAGCUACCGAAGCGGCGGCCCGUUUACCGGCCUGCCGAUGGGGGAAUCCUGUAGGUGAACUGCACCCGGAGAUACUAGCGUGGACCUCUUUUCGGACACGGGUUCGAUUCCCGUCAUCUCCACCA